rnacentral:rRNA from 1 species
CCCUUAGAUGUCCUGGGCCGCACGCGCGUUACACUGAUGCAUUCAACGAGCAUAUAACCUUGGCCGAGAGGCCUGGGUAAUCUUGUUAACAUGCAUCGUGAUAGGGAUAGAUUAUUGCAAUUAUUAAUCUUGAACGAGGAAUUCCUAGUAAUCGCAGUUCAUCAAACUGCAAUGAUUACGUCCCUGCCCUUUGUACACACCGCCCGUCGCACCUACCGAUUGAAUGGCCCGGUGAGGACUCGGGAUUGUGGUUUAGCUCCUUCAUUGGGGCCUGACUGCGAGAACUUGUCCGAACCUUAUCAUUUAGAGGAAGGUGAAGUCGUAACA